ACGCUCGACACCACGGGAGCAGCAGUGGGGAAUAUUGCACAAUGGGGGAAACCCUGAUGCAGCAACGCCGCGUGAAGGAAGACGGUUUUCGGAUUGUAAACUUCUGUUCUUAGUGAAGAUAGUGACGGUAGCUAAGGAGCAAGCCACGGCUAACUACGUGCCAGCAGCCGCGGUAAUCUGAGCGGGCUGGCAAGGC
rnacentral:rRNA from 1 species